rnacentral:rRNA from 1 species
AGAGUUUGAUCAUGGCUCAGAAUGAACGCUGGCGGCGUGCUUAACACAUGCAAGUCGUACGAGAACUCUUUAGCUUGCUAAAGAUAGUAAAGUGGCGCACGGGUGAGUAACGCGUGGGUAAUCUACCUCUGAAUUUGGGAUAACUCCGCGAAAGCGGGGCUAAUACCGGAUAAUAUUUCAGGAUCUUCGGGUUUUGAAAUCAAAAGUGGCAUCUACAUGUAAGCUACUGUUUGGAGAUGAGCCCGCGUACCAUUAGCUUGUUGGUAGGGUAAUGGCCUACCAAGGCUACGAUGGUUAGCUGGUCUGAGAGGAUGAUCAGCCACACUGGAACUGACACACGGUCCAGACUCCUACGGGAGGCAGCAGUGGGGAAUUUUGCGCAAUGGGGGAAACCCUGACGCAGCAACGCCGCGUGAGUGAUGAAGGCCUUCGGGUCGUAAAGCUCUGUCAAGUGGGAAGAAUCUGGGAAAUGCUAAUACCAUUUUUCACUGACGGUACCACUGAAGGAAGCACCGGCUAACUCCGUGCCAGCAGCCGCGGUAAUACGGGGGGUGCAAGCGUUAUUCGGAAUUAUUGGGUGUAAAGGGCGCGUAGGCGGUCUUUUAAGUCAGAUGUGAAAGCCCGGGGCUUAACCCCGGAAGUGCAUUUGAAACUGAAGGACUUGAGUAUGGGAGAGGGAAGUGGAAUUCCUGGUGUAGAGGUGAAAUUCGUAGAUAUCAGGAGGAACACCGGUGGCGAAGGCGACUUCCUGGACCAAUACUGACGCUGAGGCGCGAAGGCGUGGGGAGCAGACAGGAUUAGAUACCCUGGUAGUCCACGCAGUAAACGAUGAACACUAGGUGUAGCGGGUAUUGACCCCUGCUGUGCCGCAGUUAACGCAUUAAGUGUUCCGCCUGGGGAGUACGACCGCAAGGUUAAAACUCAAAUGAAUUGACGG